rnacentral:sRNA from 76 species
AUUCUACCCAUGCGGGGAAGGAUGAGAAGCUUCGACUAAGGUUCGAUUCGAGCGCAGCGAGAAAGCGUUGCCGCAGGCAACGACCCGAAGGGCGAAGCGCGCAGCGCUGAGUAAUCCUUCCCCCACCACCA